rnacentral:rRNA from 1 species
CCUGAGAAACCCAAAAGAUCGAAUGGGGAGAUUCAUCGUCAGCUCAUUUUGUAUAUAUAUAAGUUGUGAUAUGGGUUACUAUUUAUAUAGUAUUGCUUGUACAUUCUUGUAUAUUUAAUUGCAAAUUGUUGUCGGCGUGCACUUCUCCCCUAGUAGAACGUCGCGACCCGUUGAGUUAUUAUUAUGUUAGUUUACGGCCCAAGUGAUAGUUUUUAAUAAAUAGCUUACUUAUUUAUUAAAAAUCCUUGGUGUUAUCUGACUAACUCUUGGCGGUAUUCGUACGGUAUUAAGCCGCAUAUUUUAUAUGCGUUCUAUUCAUCACAAGCGCGGUUAGGUAUAAUUACUAAUAGUACGAACUUAGUGUCGUCUAUUGGUCCUAAUCAGCUGUUAGUUGUAUGAAAUUCUAGAACUGGCUUUAUUAUUUAUUACCGGUCAGCGAUGCUACUGCUUUGGGUACUUUC